CCCCUCUGCCCCUCCGCCCCUCCGCCUGUCCGCCUCUCUCCUUCUCCCUUGUUCCCUCUCUCCCUCCCUGCUCCCCCACCUCCCUCCCGAGUCGUAGACUCCCUUCCCCCCGGCGCUGGGAGUCUCCUUCCCGCCCCGCCGCGCAGGUGCGGCGACGGCCGCGUCACUGGAGAGUGUGUCGAGUCACAGGCGGUCUUCCGCGCGGAGCGUCCCCGGCGGACGCUGCGCAGAUGGCUGCGACUGUAGGAUUCUUGCCGGCUAGUCUUCGUCGGUUCCGCCUGCGUCAGGUUACUCGUGAAAACUCGAAUAAGUGCUAUCGAUGUGAAAUCCGAGGAAAAGAGCAUUUGGGGGAAAGGUUAAAAGGACUUCUGACUCAAACUCCUCCUCUUGAGUUUGCAGUUUGCCACUUCCAGCCUGGCGACUAGGUGCUGAUUAAGACUUGGAAAGAAGACAAGCUCCACCCAAGCUGAGAAGGUCCCUGUCAAGUGCUGCUGACCCCUGAGAUGGCCAUAUGUACAGCUGAAUGGGGGUGGACUCACUAUACUUGUCAAGGGACUGGUAAAAGAGACCCUGGAAGGGUGGGAAAAAGACCAGUGGAAAGUACAUGGGUCACCUGAGGAACCCUUAAAAUUAACUCUGAGAUGAAUCUAAAAAGAAAACAUGGGCUGGUCCCAUUUCUGGAAAUUAAUAUGGCUGGGAUGGGCUACUAUGCAAAGAGAAGAAGGUCAAAGUAGAAACUAUCAGGGGACUCCUCCCUACCCACUCAGGUUGGUAAUUAAUGUAAACAAGAUGGUUAUUUCCUUCCAAUCCCAUCCCAAAUGGAGGUUGCAGCAGGGUAGAGUUUUUGGACAAUCUUGUUUACUGCUGCAUCCCCAGUGUCAAGAAGGCUGCCUGAACAUAGAAAGUCUUCAAUAUAUAUUUGCUGAAAUAAAAGUAAAAAUUCAGUCUGGUGUCUCCAUAAUCACAGCCAUGGCCUUGUAAACAGGUAGUGAUGCGGACAGAGCCAUCUGUGCUGC
rnacentral:lncRNA from 1 species